rnacentral:misc_RNA from 1 species
GUAGGUGAACCUGCGGAAGGAUCAUUAAAGAGAAAAUCUUUUCUUUUUCUAAACAAAAAAGAAGGGAAAAUAAUCUUUCAUACCCUCGCUGUACGUGUAUACCCUUUUUUUAAUACUCGUAAAAUUUUUUUUUUACAAGUGGGAUUGAAAGGACGUACAAGCGUGUCUUCAUUCUUUUUUUUAUAAAAAUGUAGACAAAAUUUAGUCUGAUUUUUUAAAUUUAUAAAACUUUAAAACUUUCAACAAUGGA